UACGUAGGGACCGAGCGUUGUCCGGAAUCAUUGGGCGUAAAGAGCGUGUAGGCGGCUAUUUAAGUCCUGCGUGAAAUCCUGCGGCUCAACCGCAGACGGUCGUGGGAAACUGGAUGGCUAGAGUGCGGGAGAGGAGAGUGGAAUUCUCGGUGUAGCGGUGAAAUGCGUAGAUAUCGAGAGGAACACCUGCGGCGAAGGCGGGUUGCUGGGCUGAUACUGACGCUGAGGCGCGAAAGCUAGGGGAGCGAACGGG
rnacentral:rRNA from 1 species